rnacentral:rRNA from 1 species
AGCAGCCGCGGUAAUUCCAGCUCCAAUAGCGUAUAUUAAAGUUGUUGCAGUUAAAAAGCUCGUAGUUGAAUUUCGGGAUCAAUUAAUUGGUCGUGCCUCUGGUACGUACUGAUUUUAUUGGUUUCCCCCUUCUGACGAACCAUGAUGUCAUUAAUUUGGUGUCGUGAAGAAUCAGGACUGUUUACUUUAGAAAAAAUUAGAG